UCAGACGAUGCGUCAUGCAUAUCAAUAAGCGGAGGAAAAGAAACUAACAAGGAUUCCCUUAGUAACGGCGAGUGAAGCGGGAAGAGCUCAAAUUUGAAAUCUUGAAAGGUCACCUUUCACGAAUUGUAGUUUAAAGAAGUGUUUUCUGUUACGAUCGUAAUAUAAGUUCUUUGGAAUAGGACAUCACAGAGGGUGAGAAUCCCGUCUAUGAUUGCGAUUUGUAGCUUUGUGGUACACUUUCAAAGAGUCGGGUUGUUUGGGAAUGCAGCCCAAAACGGGAGGUAAAUUUCUUCUAAGGCUAAAUAUUGGCGAGAGACCGAUAGCGAACAAGUACCGUGAGGGAAAGAUGAAAAGAACUUUGAAAAGAGAGUUAAAUAGUACGUGAAAUUGUCAAAAGGGAAGCGUUUAACACCAGUGUUGUUUUCUGAAAAUCAACCUCUGUUAGCUUUAUGCAUGUUUGUUUAGACCUAAUCAGCUAUCUUGCAUGUUCUAUUGUUUGCAGUGGUGCACUUUUCAGUUUACAGGUCAACAUCAGUUUUUUUUACCGUAAAAAAGUUAAAGAAAGGUAGCUCAUGGCUCCGGUCGUGAGUGUUAUAGUCUUUUUCCUAUGCGGUAGGAGAGACUGAGGUCUGCAGUGUAGGCUAUUUGGCUAGAUACUCAGGUGCUAUGUGAUACCAUUUCAUAAACAACUUGUUGAUUAUGUUUUGUCUAUUGCAUACUCGCUUGUACUAUCAUACCUACGCUUAGGAUGUUGACUGAUAUGUAGUCGUA
rnacentral:rRNA from 1 species